CAGAUUCAUUGUUGCAUGCCUAUCAUCUAUGACAACAUGUCUGCACCUCUGUCCUGCGGGAUACCGGCAUUACAUUCAGUUGCACACUACUUCAGCUACAGAGAAACAGCAUUUUGAAUGGGUUGGCCUGGUGGAGUCUAAAAUCAGACUCCUGGUGGGAAACAUGGAGAGAAAUGUGCACGAUUCCCUG